UACGUAGGGGGCAAGCGUUGUCCGGAAUCAUUGGGCGUAAAGCGCGUGUAGGCGGUUCGAUAAGUCUGCUGUGAAAUCUCCGGGCUUAACUCGGAACGGUCAAGUGAUACUGUCGUGCUAGAGUACAGAAGGGGCAACUGGAAUUCUCGGUGUAGCGGUGAAAUGCGUAGAUAUCGAGAGGAACACCUGCGGCGAAGGCGGGUUGCUGGGCUGAUACUGACGCUGAGGCGCGAAAGCCAGGGGAGCGAACGGG
rnacentral:rRNA from 1 species